UCCAAGGUCUGAAUAUAAAAUCAGGUGCAGCCUAACAAACAGAAAAAGAAGCAAACCCCAAACCCUAACUAGCCCAGAGCCGUAACCCUAUAAAACCUAGACUAACACCGCGAGGUAAGGUUUUUCCUACACCAACACACACACACACACAUCCACACGCACACACCUGGUUCGUUCGCUUGCUCUGAUUCUCAUCACCAUGGCGCCCCAUGUCUGGCAAGGGGAUCAGCCCCUGCGUUGGCCUCUCUAUAGCAGUGCUGCACCUGGGUGUGGGGGAUUUUACUGGGUAAGGCCCUGCAAUCAUCAACAAGAUGAGACAAACGUUUAGAAUAGGCUGAGGCUCCAGAUAUCAUAUUAAAAAUUAAUAGGGCAUCCAUUAAACACUUGGUAGCUUACAGUCCAUGUAAAUUACGCUUGUGAUGCACACUUAUUGACAGUUCUGCUCUUCUUCUCAAAACAAAGACAGUUCUGCUCUACUUGUUUAAUUUUAGUUAACAACACUAUCAUGUAAAUGAGCUACAGAUAUAGGAAGCAAAGCAUUUCCAGCCCUUGCAUUCUUUCUUAUCAUAUCAAGCCCCUUGUGGUAGAGUACGUCCACAACUUAA